GUGAAUAACAACCCAGGUAUUGUACUGCUUUUCUUGCCGGUUUGUCCUAUUAUCCCAUUAUUAUAGAUGCCUAAAAGCUUGUUUCCAUUACUUGAGGUAUUUAAACCAAGCUGGUAAGUUCAUGUGGUCAGCGGACAAUUGCCGUCACCCUCUCCCGUACUUUUCUUCCAACUAUGCUUUCUCCUUCAAGUGUUGAAACCCUGGGAAGUCAUCGUCAAGGCCUUAGCAGCAGAGAUCCAUCACUGUUCCGCCACAAGUUUAAUGACGUUUUCCAUGUCAAAUAUAUUUUGUCUUAUGCUGUCUUCAACUCUUCAUGAAAGAUCUAAAGAGUCUGCAAAUCUGAAGGAGAUACAACUUCUUGCCUCCGUCUUAUUCCAUCUUCUUGAACAGAUCAAUUUGACAACUCGAAGUGGAUGUGGAGGCAUAUUCCUGAUGAGCAAUUUCUGGCCUUUUGGAUUCAUUGGACGCUAAAUUCAUUUGUGCAGCCACAUAAAAGCUGGUGUCUGCAUUGCAGUAGUUGCUUUCCUUUGAAGCUUCCUCAUGGCUGAGCUGAGAGGCAACAAACUUGUCAAGAACUCGCCAAUCUGUCACUUGAUCCACUGCUUGUUCAGUAGUGCUGUCAUAGAAAGACUUGAGAUUUUGCUGAUGCGUUGGGUGCAUGUGCUCUUCUUGUGUGAGGGUUGAGGACUGCAAAGUGCUUCCAGUUUUCCCAUCGUAGUUACCGUCAGGAAGAACUGAGUUGCAGCUUAAACUUGCAGCAGAAUAUUGUUGAACAUUGGGAUUUUCCAGCUGAGGGAGCUGAAAGGUAGGGUCAUGAGGCGAAUUAUAUUGCAACUUAAGCUCAGGCUUGCAGGGAUAACGGUGAUAGUAUGAUGCAUAAGGCUGAGGAAUUCGCCUUGGGGAGUCGAGUUCCUGCAUGAAUGAGACCUGGCCAUCGUACCAACAUGAAGAUUCGUAUUCACCCAUUUUUCGCACCGUUGUCAUUCGCUUCUUGAACACCCUACAAAUCACCCACCCUUCUUCCUGGUGGAAUAACAAAGAUAACAAAUUAAUCAUAACUAUUAAAACUAAA